UUUCUUAUUCAGUAUGCGACUCAAAACCUUAUGAGCAGCCACUGAAAAUGUGUAAUUGAGAGUAUUCCAAGUCACUUACUAUUCCACUUCCAAGUGUGGCUACUACUCAUCUGCAACUUAUUCACGGGGUUUCUCAUAAUUAUGGUCACGAAUGAAUCACAAGCAGAAAAUAAUAUGGAGAAAAUUGUGCAGUUUUAGCUCUCCCAAUUGGAGCAUCUAUCACCCUCUCCUCCGCGGUUUCCCCUGCAUAAGUGAGUCUGCUGGAGCACAGAUUGCAUGGUGCAGGGUCUUUUCAAAAGUGAAGCUAAGGAUGAGGGUGCUGGUCUUUUUGCUGAUGCAGGCUUUCUUUUGGAAACCAAUGCAAAACAAACGUGAAGCUAAGUAGAAAGGGUGCAGUUUUUUCUUGUGUUUAUGACCAAUUAUGCUGAAUGGUGUUCAGAAAUUUGAGAGGAUUUUGGUGCCUUUUCAAUUGUUAGUGCAGGUAGAUCAAGCCUUCGACAAUAUACAUGUAUCUUCCCAAGAGGAUGCUGUUUUGAUUAACUGGGGCAGCAGAAGGAAUGACUACAUAGAGGAGGCAAUGCUAUUUGGGUGUGUGGAGAUGGAUGUGGCAGAGGUUUUAUUUCUCAAUUCUCACCUCAAUUUUAUAAUUUCGCUAGUAAAUUUUAUUAACUUUUUAUUUUUAUUUUUUUAACUCAAUCUUCUCACUUACUUAAUUACUUACCUAAAAUCUUCUUAGGAUUUUUAUGUAGGUUAUGUAGAGGCAAUGGUGUGCUGAUUUUGUGAUAGUAUGGGGUCACUGGCAAUGCAAGAGUAUUAAGAGGGUUAUGGGAAUGCGUGAAAAAUUCAUUGGUUUUGAUCUUAUCUUUAGCAGAUAUAAUAUAAUGAGAUUCGGUUAUGUAGGUUAUGUAGAUAUUGUUGAUUUUGGUUUAAUCCUAAGUCGCACAUCGAUGGGUUUAUUAUUUGGGAAGGAGGUUUGAGGGUUAUAAAAUAACAUCUCCUCCUUCACUGUUAAAUAUUUCAAUUUGUAAUAUAUUCUCCCAUAAUAAUAAAAGUGGGCUGGUUCAGCUCUGCUCGGAGAUUAGGCUAAAUUGGUCGAACUCCGUUAACAAUUUUCUGGUGUGUUUUUUCCUCUUUAUCUCUUUUAUUAUUCCGCUCUGUUUAUUCAAUAUUAUUUGUCGGGUAGCUCUGUUA
rnacentral:lncRNA from 1 species